AGUGAACGCUGGCGGUAGGCCUAACACAUGCAAGUCGAACGGCAGCACAGUAAGAGCCUGCUCUUACGGGUGGCGAGUGGCGGACGGGUGCGGAAUACAUCGGAAUCUACUUUUUCGUGGGGGAUAACGUAGGGAAACUUACGCUAAUACCGCAUACGACCUACGGGUGAAAGCAGGGGAGCUUCGGACCUUGCGCGAUUGAAUGAGCCGAUGUCGGAUUAGCUAGUUGGCGGGGUAAAGGCCCACCAAGGCGACGAUCCGUAGCUGGUCUGAGAGGAUGAUCAGCCACACUGGAACUGAGACACGGUCCAGACUCCUACGGGAGGCAGCAGUGGGGAAUAUUGGACAAUGGGCGCAAGCCUGAUCCAGCCAUACCGCGUGGGUGAAGAAGGUCUUCGGGUUGUAAAGCCCUUUUGUUGGGAAAGAAAAGCAGCAGGUUAAUCCCCCGCUGUUCUGACGGUACCCAAAGAAUAAGCACCGGCUAACUUCGUG
rnacentral:rRNA from 1 species